UCAUCGUAGGGUUAGUCGGGACCUAAGUCGAGUCCGAAAGGGGUAGACGAUGGCAAAUUGAUUAAUAUUUCAACACCAACAUAUAAGCGCGAUGUGGGGACGCAUAGAGUUAAUCGAGCUCACUGAUGGAAUAGUGGGUCGAAGGAUGUAGGUUGUAUCUUAGGCAAAUCCGGGAUACAUGAGACCGGGAUCUUACAGGCUCUUGACGCUCUUCGGAGAGGAAAGAGAAUCGAUGAUACUGUCGUGCCAAGAAAAGCCACUAAGUAUAUUAUAUGUUGCCCGUACCGUAAACCGACACAGGUGGGUGGGAUGAGUAUUCUAAGGCGCGUGGAAGAACCCUGGUUAAGGAACUCUGCAAACUAGCACCGUAUCUUCGGUAUAAGGUGUGCUUUCUUCGGAAAGUCUCAGCAAAGAGUCCCUCCCGA
rnacentral:rRNA from 1 species